UGAUGACUUGAGCUGAAGUCAGAAGCUUAACGGACUAAGCCACCCAGCAGGUAUCCAAUUACCUGGAGGGCAAGCUGCUGCUGCUGCCGCUGCCGCUGAUCCAAGGACCACACUUUGAGAACCACUGUUCUAGAAGCUGCUUGUCUUUGCUAAGAGAGAAGCUUGGCUCCACCAGAGGACAGUGAAGGAGAAAUGUGAUGUACUUUCCAGUCCAUCGAAAGAUCGUGAUGGGAUACACAGUAUUCGGCGAUGUUAUCUCUGAGGUCAGUCGGGCUCUUUCAAAUGGUAAGAACUUCAUGCUUUUGUAAUUAAUUCAGGACGUAUGUUAAAUUCCUAAAUUGAGCUAUUUGAAUGUGGGGAUGGUUUUCUUGAUAGUGGUUUGAUGUUUUAAGAAAGUCACUGCCUACUCGAGAAACCAUGGUCUCCCAACGUAAAUUUCCCAUGGGAAGAGCUCCACAGAGAAGAAAGGGACCCGUUGUUCCCCCCUGUGUCAAUUGAAAUGUACAGACACCUGAAACCCAAAUAAAUGAGCAAAUAAAAGAUGAAAGCAUACAGGAGAUCAUCCUUCAAAUCCACAAAGACGAAAUAAUUAAAAACUAGGUGCACAUUACAGUGGUAAUAAUAAAACUUAAUAAUAUGUAGUAAUUACAUAAACAGAGAAACUGUGUUCCUCCAGGGCCUACUCCAUCAUUUUGUCUUGAAUUAUGAUUCACCUAAAUAUAUAUAUAUAUAUAUAUAUAUAUAUAUAUAUAUAUAUAUUCCAACUUCAGACCCUAGAACUAUGUUUAUAUCAGUGGUUCUCAAACUUUAGCAAGCAUGCAAAUCACAGGGAGGCCUUACUAAAACACAGAUUCUGGGGCACCGCCCACAAAGCGUCUGGUUCAGUAGAUCUAGAGGAGGCUCAAGAACUUGCAUGUCAAACAAUCUCAGGUGAAGCUGAUGCUGAUUGUUCAGAACCAUACUUUAGGAAUAUAUUAGAAUUAUCUGGGGUGCAAUUGCUAAAAAUCCCAAUUCUUAUACCAUACCUCAAAACAAUCAAAAUCAGAAUCUAUGGGGUUGGAACCCAGGCAGCCAUCAGUAUUUUUUUUUUUUUUAAGUUCUCAGGCAAUUCCAAUGUACAGCCAAAGUGGAGAAUGUCUAGUCAGAUCGGUAGUUCUCAAACUUUGGCACACGUCAGAAUCACCUGAAGCACUUGUUAAAUCCCAGAGAGCUGGCCCUUCUUCUAGAGUUUCUGAUUCAGUAAGUAUGGGUUGUGUCCAAGAAUAAGUAUUUCAAUCAAGUUCCCGGGUGGUGAUGCUAUGAAUCCUGGACCACACUUUGAGAACGAUGGGUUAGACCGACUUCAGUUUGACUGCACUUGGUCUGUUGGGGGAUCUGGUACAAAACACUGAAGUUAGCUUCCCCUCUGACCCUCCAAAAAACAACAAAAACUGGGCAUUGGGACUUAUAUCUUCUGAGAUGGUGUUUGGCCUAAGUGUGCUGUCCAUGCUCUCCAGGUGAUUCUAAUGUGCAGCCAGGAUUGAGAGCCACACAAAACCAAGGAAAGGCAGGGAUGGGAUACAUGUGUCACCUGCAAUGCUUGCUGCUCAUUGGGUUAAAUAUGACUUCUUCCAACUAAAACAUAUUCCUGCUUUAAUCACUAUAUGCAACAUACAUCUUUGCCUAAGAAAAGUACUACAUUGAAAUAAAUGCAAGAUUAUGACAGUCA